UGCCAGCCGCCGCGGUAACACGUAGGGGGCAAGCGUUGUCCGGAUUUAUUGGGCGUAAAGAGCUCGUAGGCGGCUCGGUAAGUCGGGCGUGAAAUUCCAAGGCUCAACCUUGGACCGCCGUCCGAUACUGCUGUGGCUAGAGUCCGGUAGGGGAGUGCGGAACUCCUGGUGUAGCGGUGAAAUGCGCAGAUAUCAGGAAGAACACCAGCGGCGAAGGCGGCACUCUGGGCCGGUACUGACGCUGAGGAGCGAAAGCAUGGGUAGCGAACAGGAUUAGAUA
rnacentral:rRNA from 1 species